rnacentral:tRNA from 1 species
GUCCCUGUAGCGCAAGAGAUAGCGCUUUGGACUUCUAAUUCAAAAGUCGUGGGUUCGAUUCCCAUCUGAGAUG